GACGAACGCUGGCGGCGUGCCUAAUACAUGCAAGUAGGACGAGUUGCGAACGGGUGAGUAACGCGUGGUAACCUACCUAUUAGAGGGGGAUAACUACUGGAAACGGUAGCUAAUACCGCAUACCAUCGGAUGUGCCCAGAUGGGAUUAGCUAGUAGGUGGGGUAACGGCUCACCUAGGCGACGAUCCCUAGCUGGGCUGAGAGGAUUGCCACGCAAAACGGAAAUGCGGCCAGGUCCCGGCUCCUACGGGAAGGCGCAGUGGGGGAUAUUUGACCAUGGGCGCAAGCCUGAUGCAGCCAUGCCGCGUGUAUGAAGAAGGCCUUCGGGUUGUAAAGUACUUUCAGCGAGGAGGCGUUACUCGCAGAAGAAGCACCGGCUAACUCCGUGCCAGCAGCCGCGGUAAUAC
rnacentral:rRNA from 1 species